rnacentral:misc_RNA from 1 species
UCUCCGUAGGUGAACCUGCGGAGGGAUCAUUACUGAGUGAGGGCCUUCGGGCUCGACCUCCAACCCUUUGUGAACACAACUUGUUGCUUCGGGGGCGACCCUGCCGUUUCGUCGCCGGGCGCCCCCGAAGGUCUCCAAACACUGCAUCUUUGCGUCGGAGUUUAAGUAAAUUAAACAAAACUUUCGGCAACGGAUCUCUUGGUUCUGGCAUCGAUGAAGAACGCAGC